GGUUCAAGUUCCUUCGCAGUUCCUUGCUCUGGCGUGACGUAUAAUUAUAAUUAGUGAAGCAUUGUUCAAAUGAAAAGUCAACAAAAAGAAAAACUUAAAAUGUGCAAAAUAAAUAUUUUCCUUUCCUUUUUGAACUUGUAAUGAACACGUAAGUUUCAAAAUCAUCAUCCAUUAACUAAAAUAAAGAUAUAUUCACAACCAUCUUAGUAAUAAAUUAAAGAUUCAAAAACUAAAAGGAAGCACUAUUUCUGCUAUGAACCUAACGUAAUCUCUCUCAAACUAAAUUCAUUUCCCAACAUAUGAUAUCCAAGACUCAAGCCAUGAAAAACAUACAUCUGACCGAAGGAAAUUGGAAUAAUAUUUAAAGCAACCUGCUUCUACUUAUAUGCUACUUAAAGAAAGGGAAACUACGAAUUAAAUUUUUAAAACAUACUACUAUAAGGUGGUAAAAGGACCAUCGAUAAAGCAUAUAAGAAUAAAAAUACUAAUACCUUUGGUUAAAGAACAUUUAAGAUUACCUUAACUGACAAUUAAUCACAGAUGGGUUUUGAUAUUUCCCGUAGAACAUUUAACAUACAAGUAAAAUACUUAAAAUACGAACAGAGAAGAGACGAACCUCUAUGAACUUUCAAUUGAUAAAAUUUUCAACAGUUACAUGAGCAAAUAAACUAAACGCUACAGCCGGAACUUAAAUCUGACAGAAACUCGGACGGCACCACGAGACAACUCCGAACAGUCUAUACCUCAAACGGAUUCGAACCCAGUUCCAACACUUCAGGAGAAAUCCAUUUUAAGACCCGAAAUUCGAAAUUGAAAAUGAACAGAAUUUUCCUUCUCUGGUUUGCAUUUUGUAUGGCUUCUGCCCACCCCCUUUCAGUUCUCUUCUAUGUGUGUGUCUUUAUUUUUUCUUUGCACGAUUCUUUUUCUGUUUUUUGUUUUCG
rnacentral:lncRNA from 1 species